UACGUAGGGUGCAAGCGUUAAUCGGAAUUACUGGGCGUAAAGCGUGCGCAGGCGGUUUUGUAAGCCAGAUGUGAAAUCCCCGGGCUUAACCUGGGAAUGGCAUUUGGGACUGCAAGGCUGGAGUGCGGCAGAGGAGACUGGAAUUCCUGGUGUAGCAGUGAAAUGCGUAGAUAUCAGGAGGAACACCGAUGGCGAAGGCAGGUCUCUGGGCUGACACUGACGCUCAUGCACGAAAGCGUGGG
rnacentral:rRNA from 1 species